rnacentral:rRNA from 1 species
CGAGUGCUUCGAGCGUUAUCCGGAAUCAUUGGGCGUAAAGGGUGUGUAGGCGGCGUUGUUAGUCUUUCGUUAAAUUCCUCGGCUCAACCGGGGGCAUGCGUAAGAUACGGCAAUGCUUGAGGGUAGAGAAAGGUCUCUGGAACUCUAAGUGUAGCGGUGAAAUGCGUUGAUAUUUAGGGGAACACCAAAAGCGAAAGCAGGAGACUGGCUCACAUCUGACGCUGAAACACGAAAGCGUGGGUAGCGAAUGGGAUUAGAUACCCCAGUAGUCCACGCCCUAAACGAUGAUCUCUCGCUUUGAGGAGUAUCGACCCUCUUCGAGGCUAAGCAAACGCGUUAAGAGAUCCGCCUGGGUAGUACGGCCGCAAGGUUG